rnacentral:lncRNA from 1 species
GGCUCGGGACACCGGCUCCAAGCCCGAUCGGGUCUCCAGCGGACUCGCUUCCUCCCGGAUCACCCCACGGAUCCCACGGCGCCCGGUGCGGCCGCGGCCACCUCGGUCACUCACACCCAGAACCCGGGUUUCCCGCCGCCAACCCCACCGACUCUCCCCGAACCGAGCCGCUCUCGUGCCUUGAGGCACAACCUCGUCUUCGCUCUUCCGAUAGAAGAAAACACUCCUGCACUAAGGACGAAUCCUGUCCACAAUCUCUAAACACCGAUCCCCAACCGUAGGGGAGGUUGAGGGGCUGGAGGGUGGCUUCCUUACUGAGGGCCAAGAGUUUACUGCUCCUGUAUACAGACAGACAGACCCCAGAACUCGGAGGCUAGGAAACAGGUGGAAAGGCUCUCCUUCAACUACGUCUCAGCGAGCGAGCUCCUCCAACCUCCUGUUUCUAACUUCCAUCCUCUGUAAUAAACCUAUAAUCUUGG